rnacentral:rRNA from 1 species
GAUGAACGCUGGCGACGUGCUUAACACAUGCAAGUCGAACGGUGAAGCAGAGCUUGCUCUGUGGAUCAGUGGCGAACGGGUGAGUAACACGUGAGCAACCUGCCCCUGACUCUGGGAUAAGCGCUGGAAACGGCGUCUAAUACUGGAUAUGAGCUGCGACCGCAUGGUCAGCAGUUGGAAAGAUUUUUCGGUCUGGGAUGGGCUCACGGCCUAUCAGCUUGUUGGUGAGGUAAUGGCUCACCAAGGCGUCGACGGGUAGCCGGCCUGAGAGGGUGACCGGCCACACUGGGACUGAGACACGGCCCAGACUCCUACGGGAGGCAGCAGUGGGGAAUAUUGCACAAUGGGCGAAAGCCUGAUGCAGCAACGCCGCGUGAGGGAUGACGGCCUUCGGGUUGUAAACCUCUUUUAGCAGGGAAGAAGCGAAAGUGACGGUACCUGCAGAAAAAGCGCCGGCUAACUACGUG